UACGUAGGGGGCUAGCGUUGUCCGGAUUUAUUGGGCGUAAAGAGCGUGUAGGCGGCCAGAUAGGUCUGCUGUGAAAACUCGAGGCUCAACCUCGAGCUGUCGGCGGAAACCAUCUGGCUAGAGUCCGGAAGAGGAGAGUGGAAUUCCCGGUGUAGCGGUGAAAUGCGCAGAUAUCUGGAGGAACACCGGUGGCGAAGGCGGCGUCCUGGACCAACACUGACACUGAGGAGCGAAAGCCAGGGGAGCAAACGGG
rnacentral:rRNA from 1 species